GGUCUUUGUCGGUGUGGCAACAAACCAUGGCAAAUGGUGUCGGCAGCCCUGUCUCGAUACUGCGGGGAGAACUGCCAGACGACCUCCUGAGUGUGGAAGGCAACGUCUGUUCACCCAUGAACAGGAACUGGCCGUUGUCAAUCUAGUGUUGGCAAAUAACACCGUCCGCCUACGAGAGCAAAUCAUCGCAGAUCACACAACAUUCCAUAAUAUCAACCGUGUCAGUAUGUCGACACCCUACUGCAUCUUUUGUCAACACCAACCUACGAUGAAGCCGCUGUGAGGAACAGCGUUAGAGUCAGAGACCUUCGCUAUGACAACGUGCAGAGUCCUGGACUUUGAUGCAGCUGCACAGCCCCAUGAGUUCAUUUUCGUUGAUGAAGCUGGAUUCAAUGUAGCUAAAGCCAGGCGCCGGGGCCGAAAUGUUAUGGAACAAAGAGCCGUUGGGAAUUUCCUGGGCAGCGCGGGGGAAAUAGCGCCUUGUGUGACACCAUUAGUCUGCAAGGAGUUCUCCAUCACCAUGCCACCCUGGGUCCCUACAAUACUGCACACAUAAUCAUAUUUCUGGAUGCACUACAUAAUGCAGCUGUACAGGACGGUCCAGAGCAGCACAGGUUUGUUGUCAUCUGGGAUAAUGUUGGUUUCCAACGGGCUGCUCUGGUCAGGGACUGGUUCACCAACCACAACCACUUCACAGUUGUAUACUUGCCCCCUUACUCCCCAUUUCUCAAUCCGAUUAAGGAAUUAUUUUUGGCUUGGCGUUGGAAAGUGUAUGACCGCCAUCCACAUGCCAGCCUGCCUCUUCUGCAAGCAACGGAAGAGGCAUGCGGAGACGUUGAGGUGGGGUCAGACCAGGUUUGGAUACGGCACGCAAGGCAAUAUUUUCCCCGUUUCCUAGCCAGGGAUGGCAUUGCAUGUGAUGCUGAUGAGGUGAUGUGGCCAGACCCUAACAGAAGGCGGGAUCCAUAAACCAUCCACCCCAUCCCUUACAGUACUAUUUUUUGUUUACCAUUGCACUGUAAUUAUUUUUGUUUCCGUGAGAUUACAGUAACAUAUUGUAUUGAUUACUGUACUGUAAUUCUACUUUUCUUUGUUGUUGUAAAAACCUGCAAUGGCAAAAAAGAAGCUGUAUAUCUUUUUUUUCUGAAGCCUUUCUACAAAUAAUUAAAGAGCAGCAGUAAAUAACAAUAGCGGGGCUAUAUACAGGGGGUACCGGUACAGAGUCAAUGUGUCAAUGAGCCGGGGGCACCGGUGUCGAGGUAAUUGAGGAAAUUAUGUACAUGUAGGUAGAGUUAUUAAAGUGACUAUUCAUAGAUAAUAACAGGGAGUAGCAGCGGGGACAACGACAAUGUAAAUAGUCUGGGUAGCCAUAUUCAGGAGUCUUAUGGCUUUGGGGUAGAAGCUGUUUAGAAGCCUCCUUGACCUGGGACUCAUUUACCGCUUGCCAUGCGGUAGAAGGGAGAACAGUCUAUGACUAAGGUAUAUAGGUCCUGGAUGGCAGGAAGCUUGGCCCCAGUGAUGUACUGGGCCGUACGCACUACCCUCUGUAGUGCCUUGCGGUCGGAGGCCGAGCAGUUGCCAUACCAGGCAGUGAUGUAACCCGUCAGGAUGCUCUCGAUUGUGCAGCUGUAAAACCUUUUGAGAAUCUGAGGACCCAUGCCAAAUCUUUUCAGACUCCUGAGGGGGAAUAGGUUUUGUCAUGCCCUCUUCACGACUGUCUUGGUGUGCUUGGACCAUGUUAGUUUGUUGGUGAUGUGGACACCAAGGAACUUGAAGCUCUCAACCUGCUCCACUACAGCCCCGUCGAUGAGAAGGGGGGCGUGCUCUGUCCUUUUUUUCCUGUUGUCCACAAUCAUCUCCUUUGUCUUGAUCACGUUGAGGGAGAGAUCUCAGACCUCCUCCCUAUAGGCUGUCACAUCGUUGUUGGUGAUCAGGCCUACCACUGUUGUGUCAUUAGCAAAUUUAAUGAUGGUGUUGGAGUCGUGCCUGGCCAUGCAGUCAUGAGUGAACAGGGAGUACAGGAGGGGACUGAGCACGCACCCCUGAGGGGCCCCCAUGUUGAGGAUAAGUGUGGCGGAUGUGUUGUUACCUGCCCUUACCACCUGGGGGCGGCCCGUCAGGAA